rnacentral:tRNA from 1 species
GGAGGGGUGGCAGAGCGGUUGAAUGCACAGGUCUUGAAAACCUGCGUGCGUGUAAGCGUACCGUGGGUUCGAAUCCCACCCCCUCCGCCA